UAAUCCAUAACAGGCGGCUUGACCAUGGAUCUAUUCCCAUCCCUCAUAAAGCCUGCUGAUAUUUCAUGCUGGUACAAGUGCCUGUGGGAAUGAAUUCCGCAUGUGUAUCACCACCGGUGAAGAAGUGUUUCAUUUUGUUUUGAACCUAUCAUCUUCAAGCUCCAGUGGGUGAUAAGGAAAAGAAAAGAAUUCCAACUUUACCAGUACAACUUUACUGUUGAUGUUGGGGAGAGGAACUGGCAAGACUCCUCCAGUUUUGACACCGUCCAUAUCACUGCGAAGUAAUCUUCAGAUCACAGGUUGGGAAUGAGAAGUUGAGGUGAAUAUGAACUGAGGAAAUUGGAAGACGGUGA